rnacentral:rRNA from 1 species
AAGCUCGUAGUUGAAUUUCGGGAUCAGACUGUCGGUCGUGCCUCGGUACGCACUGGCAUUAUUGGUUCCUACCUUCUGAAGAACCGCGAUGUCAUUAAUUUGGUGUCGCGGGGAAUCAGGACUGUUACUUUGAAAAAAUUGAGUGUUUAAAGCAGGCUUACGCUUGAAUACAUUAGCAUGGAAUAAUGAAAUAGGACGUUUGAUUCUAUUUUGUUGGUUUCUAGGAUCGACGUAAUGAUUAAUAGGGAUAGUUGGG